rnacentral:misc_RNA from 1 species
GAUGAAGAACGUAGCAAAAUGCGAUACUUGGUGUGAAUUGCAGAAUCCCGUGAACCAUCGAGUCUUUGAACGCAAGUUGCGCCCGAAGCCAUUAGGCCGAGGGCACGCCUGCCUGGGCGUCACACGUCGUUGCCCCCCCCAUCUACUCCUUCGGGAUUGCGGGGGGCGGAUGAUGGCCUCCCGUGUGCCUCGCCGCGCGGUUGGCAUAAAUACCAAGUCCUCGGCGACGCACGCCACGACAAUCGGUGGUUGCGAAACCUCGGUUGCCCGUCGUGUGCGGUCGUCGCGCAUCGAGGGCUCGAAAAAAUUGCCGGGUUCCGGCUCGGCUUUCAACGCGACCCCAGGUCAGGCGGGGUUACCCGCUGAAUUUAAGCAUAUCAAUAAGCGGAGGA